GUCUAUGGUCAUACAACCCUGAGCACACCUGAUCUCGUCUGAUCUCAGAAGCUAAGCAGGGUCGGGCCUGGUUCGUACUUGGAUGGGAGAAGUAUAGAGAUUUCCCAUAUAUC
ensembl:rRNA 5S_rRNA 5S ribosomal RNA